rnacentral:lncRNA from 1 species
GGAAGAACAACUGAUGUCAUCUAUCUGGAAUUCAGUUAGGCCUUUGACCACAUCCCCCAUAACAUCCUUCUCUCCAAACUGGAAGGAUAUGUAUCUGAUGGAUACUGUUCGAUGGAUGAAGAACUGGUUAUACUCGAAGAGUGGUGGUCAAUGGCUCAGUGUCCAGAUCACAGAAUCACACAGAAUCACAGAAUGGCCUGGGUUGGAAGGGACCUCAAGGAUCAUGAAUCUCCAACCCUCCCAACCUCCCUGCCAGGCAGGGCCACCAACCUCCCCAUUUACUAGACCGGGUUGCCCAGGGCCCCAUCCAACCUGUCCUUGAACUCCUCCAGGGACGGGGCAUCCACAACCUCUCUGGACAGCCCGUUCCAGCACCUCACCGCUCUCCUUGUAAAGAACUUUCCCCUAACAUCCAACCUAAAUCUUCCCUCUUUCAACUUCAAACCGUUCCCCCUUGUCCUGCUGUUAUCUACCCUUUCAAAGAGUUUACUCCCUUCCUGUUUAUAGGCUCCCUUCAGGUACUGAAAGGCUGCAAUGAGGUCUCCCCGCAGCCUUCUCUUCCCCAGGCUGAAUAAGCCCAGCUCCCUCAGCCUGUCCUCGUAGGGGAGGUGCUUCAGCCCCGUGAUCAUCUUAGUGGCCCUCCUCUGGACCCACUCCAAGAGCUCCAUGUCCUUCUUGUGCUGGGGGCCCCAGGCCUGGAUACAGUACUCCAAAUGGGGCCUCACAAGAGCUGAGUACAGGGGUACAAUCACCUCCCUCUCCCUGCUGGCCACCUCUUUUUAAUGCAGCCCAGGAUAUAGUUGGCCUUCCGGGCUGCAAGCGCAUACUGCUGGCUCAUGUACAGCUUCUCAUCCACCAGGACCCCCAAGUCCUUCUCCGCAGGGCUGCUCUCAAGGAGAUCUUCCCCCAAUUUGUAUAAAUAUCUGGGAUUGCCCCGACCCAAUGCAUGGUACAACAAAAUGCACUUAUGACAGAAGAUACAAUAUGGCAUAUAAUUAAAGCCAAACAUCAACCUUUGGAGCAGUUAUCACAACCUACUUUCAGAUUAGGUAUAGCCAAAGACUAUCUAAAAACAGCAGAUAAUUUUUUACAAAAAACAAUGCAAAUACUUGCCCAUUUUUAUAUUUAAACUUGAGGUAUUUAAGAUAGUCUCGUGAUCUUUUACUGGCAUAAAUGUUCACAAGAAACAAGUUUCAAAGUGUUGAGUCCAGUGUGAUAUUGGGAGUGGAGUUUUCAAUUCACGAUUGAUGAAAUGCUUCCAUAUUCAUGAAAUUGUAGAAAGAAAACAAUGGCAUGGCACUUAUUUAAUUGUUACUCAGAUGUGAAAAAAACCCCUGGACAACUGUUCUC